rnacentral:lncRNA from 1 species
UGCUUACGUAGCUCGUACUAGAAGAGCUUCAAGGGUCACGCAGGUCCGACGGGAAAAACUUACCCACGGGGCGCGGGCAGAAGCGACCGAUCGAGGCGUGCAGGUGGGUCGUGUCUUGGGAUCUGGGUUGAGUUAAUAUUAACUGUAACGGUAUUAUUUCAUUUUGGGUUUCGCCGUAUGGACUUGAGGUUUUAUAUACGUUUUCGGUGCUGCUAAUUCGCUAGAUAUAGUUCAUCUUAUGUUUUCUGUAAUUACUUAACAAAGGGUUAUAUAGAUUGAUUGUGCAUAAGCUUACGGAUGCGAUCAGACCAGCAAUAAUGCACCGGAUCCCAUCAGAACUUCGAAGUUAAGCUUGCUUGGGCGAGAGUAGUACUAGGAUGGGUGACCUCCUGGGAAGGCCUCGUGUUGCAUCCCUCUUUUUUGCAUUUUGCGCUGUAUGUAACCCGUUUUUGUUUUAAUUUUAAUUUUUUUCCUUUCUUCUUGUUACUCGUUCGCAACCGCGCCGAAUGCUUACGUAGCUCGUACUAGAAGAGCUUCAAGGGUCACGCAGGUCCGACGGGAAAUACUUAGCCACGGGGCGCGGGCAGAAGCGACCGAUCGAGGCGUGCAGGUGGGUCGUGUCUUGGGAUCUGGGUUGAGUUAAUAUUAACUGUAACGGUAUUAUUUCAUUUUGGGUUUCGCCGUAUGGACUUGAGGUUUUAUAUACGUUUUCGGUGCUGCUAAUUCGCUAGAUAUAGUUCAUCUUAUGUUUUCUGUAAUUACUUAACAAAGGGUUAUAUAGAUUGAUUGUGCAUAAGCUUACGGAUGCGAUCAUACCAGCAAUAAUGCAUCGGAUCCCAUCA